GUGGGGAAUAUUGGGCAAUGGGCGAAAGCCUGACCCAGCAACGCCGCGUGAAGGAAGAAGGUUUUCGGAUCGUAAACUUCUAUCCUUGGUGAAGAUAAUGACGGUAGCCAAGAAGGAAGCCCCGGCUAACUACGUGCCAGCAGCCGCGGUAAUACGUAGGGGGCAAGCGUUGUCCGGAAUGAUUGGGCGUAAAGGGCGCGUAGGCGGCCUGGUAAGUCUGGAGUGAAAGUCCUGCUUUUAAGGUGGGAAUUGCUUUGGAUACUGUCGGGCUUGAGUGCAGGAGAGGUAAGUGGAAUUCCCGGUGUAGCGGUGAAAUGCGUAGAGAUCGGGAGGAACACCAGUGGCGAAGGCGACUUACUGGACUGUAACUGACGCUGAGGCGCGAAAGUGUGGGGAGCAAACAGGAUUAGAUACCCGUGUAGUCC
rnacentral:rRNA from 1 species